GUUUGAUGGCGACCGGCGCACGGGUGAGUAGCACGUAUCCAACCUGCCGAUGACUCGGGGGAUAGCCUUUCGAAAGAAAGAUUAAUACCCGAUGCCAUAGUUCUUCCGCAUGGUAGAACUAUUAAAGAAUUUCGGUUAUCGAUGGGGAUGCGUUCCAUUAGGCAGUUGGUGGGGUAACGGCCCACCAAACCUUCGAUGGAUAGGGGGUUCUGAGAGGAAGGUCCCCCACAUUGGAACUGAGACACGGUCCAAACUCCUACGGGACAGCAUG
rnacentral:rRNA from 1 species